rnacentral:tRNA from 1 species
GAGAGAGUAUGCAAGAACUGCUAAUUCUUCGUCUCCGCACCUAACAACGCGGCUCUCUCA